rnacentral:rRNA from 1 species
AUACGGAGGGUGCAAGCGUUAAUCGGAAUUACUGGGCGUAAAGCGUACGUAGGCGGUUAUUUAAGUCAGAUGUGAAAGCCCCGGGCUUAACUUGGGAACUGCAUUUGAAACUGGGUAACUAGAGUUUAGUAGAGGGGAGCGGAAUUUCAGGUGUAGCGGUGAAAUGCGUAGAGAUCUGAAGGAACACCAGUGGCGAAGGCGACUCCCUGGACUAAAACCGACGCUGAGGUACGAAAGCGUGGGUAGCAAACAGGAUUAGAUACCCUAGUAGUCC